UACGUAGGUCCCGAGCGUUGUCCGGAUUUAUUGGGCGUAAAGCGAGCGCAGGCGGUUAGAUAAGUCUGAAGUUAAAGGCUGUGGCUUAACCAUAGUACGCUUUGGAAACUGUUUAACUUGAGUGCAAGAGGGGAGAGUGGAAUUCCAUGUGUAGCGGUGAAAUGCGUAGAUAUAUGGAGGAACACCGGUGGCGAAAGCGGCUCUCUGGCUUGUAACUGACGCUGAGGCUCGAAAGCGUGGGGAGGAAACAGG
rnacentral:rRNA from 1 species